rnacentral:rRNA from 1 species
CCUACGGGAGGCAGCAGUGAGGAAUAUUGGUCAAUGGCCGGAAGGCUGAACCAGCCAUGCCGCGUGAAGGUCAGUGCCCUAUGGGCUUUAAACUUCUUUUGUGCGGGAGCAAUAAUGGUCACUGUCGGCCAGACGAGAGUACCGGACGAAUAAGCAUCGGCUAACUCCGGGCAAGCAGCCGCGGUAAUACGGGGGAUGCAAGCUUUAUCCGGAUUUUUUGGGUUUAACGGGUGCGUAGGCUGUGAGGUAAGUCAGCGGGGAAAGUCCACCGCUCAACGGGGUGAAGUGCCAUUGAUACUGCCUUGCUGGAAUGCGGAUGCCGUGGGAGGAAUGUGUGGUGUAGCGGUGAAAUGCAUAGAUAUCACACAGAACACCGAUUGCGAAGGCAUCUCACGAAUCCGCGAUUGACGCUGAUGCACGAAAGCGUGGGUAUCAAACAGGAUUAGAUACCCCUGUAGUC